UAUUAUUUUCAUAUAGUAAAAACUAUUAUUAUACUUUUUUAUUCAGAACACAACUAUAACUUUGACCUCGCAAAAAGUAGUCACUACAAUGGUACAGCAAUGGCAGCAUAUGUUAAUACCGUGGUACCGAUUAAUUAUCAUGUGGUAUUUACAAGGUACUCUCAGGAAUAGCAUGGCUUUACCAUGUUUUUAUUCAGUUUGACCAUUGUAAAACACUACAUUCUAUUAUUACUAUUAUUACUCACUAUUAUUACUCACAUUUCACUGCUGGUUAUAUAUGCUCUAUAUAAUUGUGUAUGUGACAAAUAAAAAAUCUUGAAUCUUGAAAAGACUUCUAAUAUAUUCUCUCACACAUUACAAUUGGCAUUCUAGGAAAUUUAAGUUGCAGUACCAAUGGAACUGCUAUAAAGCUUUUAUAAAAUAUUAAAAUAACACAUAAAUAUAUUCUUACCAUUUAUAACCAUUUGUAGGUGUGCAGCACUACCAUCCAGUGGUUAACACUGCGAAUAUAGUUUUAAAAAUAUGUAAGAACAGUGCUGGGCAUUUAUUAAUUUGAAAACCUAAGACAAAAGUGGAAGCUCAUUCCAUUUCAAGUUUUACUUCAGACCCAAUAUAAAAUACAAACAGCAUAAACAUUUCUUGUCAAAUAUGUAAUCUGGGAUUCAAGGAUCAUCUGUUGUGUCCCAGCUCUUCUGUAUUUUGUCAAUGUAACAGUGAGGAAAAAUUAAGAAAAGCCCGUCACUGAGAGCAAAUAAAUGAUCAUUAUUACACCAAACUGUUUUUAAAAAUGCAUGAAGAAAAACUACCAGUAACUGCUU